AACCUGGUUGAUCUUGCCAGUAGUCAUAUGCUUGUCUUAAAGAUUAAGCCAUGCAAGUGAAAGUACACAUGAAUAAUAAUUUAUCGAAACUGCGAACGGCUCAUUAAAACAGUUAUAAUCUACUUGACAUUUAUAUUAUAAGGAUAACUACGGAAAAUCUGUAGCUAAUACUUGUAAAAAUAUCUUAUGAUAUGUAUAUAUAUAUAUAUGUAUGUAUCAUUAAGAUAUGUAUUUGUUAGAUGUAAGAAGUAAAUAAAAUAAAUAUAAAUUGAAUUAUAACAAAGAAAGAACACGUAUACGUACGUGAAUAUCAAUCGAGUAUCUGACCUAUCAGCUUUUGAUGUUAGGGUAUUGACCUAACAUGGCUAUGACGGGUAACGGGGAAUUAGAGUUCGAUUCCGGAGAGGGAGCCUGAGAAAUAGCUACCACAUCUAAGGAAGGCAGCAGGCGCGUAAAUUACCCAAUUCUGAAGAAGAGAGGUAGUGACAAGAAAUAACAAUACAUUAUCGAAGAAUGAUUUUGUAAUUGGAAUGAUAGGGAAUUAUAACAUUUCUAGAGAAACAAUUGGAGGGCAAGUCUGGUGCCAGCAGCCGCGGUAAUUCCAGCUCCAAUAGCAUAUAUUAAAAUUGUUGCAGUUAAAACGUUCGUAGUUGAAUAUUAAAGAAUCCGAUGUUUCAUUUAAACUGGUUUUGGGAAACUACAUAUAUAUAUAUAUUUAUAUAUUGUUUAAUAUAAGUUUCCCGUAUAAAAUUAUGUUUUUAUCAGAUAUGACAGAGUCUUUUUUAAAAUCUGUUCAUUUUGCUUUUAUUGCUUUUUGAGAGAUUUUGUUACUUUGAGUAAAAUUAAGUGUUCAUAACAGACGGCUAUACUUUGAUUGAGGUGUUCAGGGUGUUUGAAUACUACAGCAUGGAAUAACAAAUAUGAAUAAGCUAAUUUAAUUUUUUAUUAUUUUUUUGGAUAUUCUUAUUAGCUUAGUUACGGUUAAUAGGAGUAGUUUUGGGGGCAUUCGUAUUCAGAUGUCAGAGGUGAAAUUCUAAGAUUUUCUGGAGACGGACUACUGCGAAAGCAUUUGCCUAAUCUAUUUCCAUUAAUCAAGAACGAAAGUUAAGGGAGUGAAGACGAUCAGAUACCGUCGUAAUCUUAACCAUAAACUAUACCGACUAGGUGUUGGAUGAAUAUAAAAAAUAUAUAUAAAAUAUUAAUAUUUCUUAGGGAUUAUUUAUUUUAUAUAUUAGAUUGCUUCCUUCAGUACCUUAUGAGAAAUCAAAGUCUUUGGGUUCUGGGGCGAGUAUUCGCGCAAGCGAGAAAGUUAAAAGAAUUGACGGAAGGGCACCACCAGGCGUGGAGCUUGCGGCUUAAUUUGACUCAACACGGGAAAACUCACUAGUUUAAGACAAGAGUAGGAUUGACAGAUUAAUAGCUCUUUCUUGAUUUCUUGGAUGGUGAUGCAUGGCCGUUUUUAGUUCGUGAAUAUGAUUUGUCUGGUUAAUUCCGAUAACGAACGAGAUCUUAACCUGCUAAUUAGCGGCAAGUACAAUAUAUUCUUAUUUGAAAAUUGAAUAUAGGUAAAAUUAAUAAUAAUUAUUUUAUGUGUACAAAUUAGGAUAUUUUUAUUAAAAAUAUCCUUUUCCCUGUUCUAUACUAAUAUUUUAUUUUUUUACUCUAUUUCUUUUUUCUUUUAAGAAUGUACUUGUUUGAUUGAAAAAGCUUCUUAGAGGAACAUUGUGUAUCUAACACAAGGAAGUUUAAGGCAACAACAGGUCUGUGAUGUCCUUAGAUAAACUAGGCUGCACGCGUGCUACAAUGAUAUAUAUAACAAGUUGUUAAAAUAUAUACAUAUAUAUGUAUUUGUAUCUUGUGAUACUUAGUAAAUAAUUUUGUAUAUUUUUUCCUUUACUGAAAAGUAUAGGUAAUCCAAUCAAUAUAUAUCGUAACUGGGAUAGAUUAUUGCAAUUAUUAAUCUUGAACGAGGAAUGCCUAGUAAGCAUGAUUCAUUAGAUUGUGCUGACUACGUCCCUGCCCUUUGUACACACCGCCCGUCGCUCCUACCGAUUGAAAGAUAUGAUGAAUUGUUUGGAUAUGAAUUAAAACAUGGAAUUUUAUAUUUCUGAUUUUUUCUAGAAGAACUGUAAAUCCUGUCUUUUAAAGG
rnacentral:rRNA from 1 species